UACGAGGGGGGCAAAUGUUGUUCGGAAUCACUGGGCGUAAAGGGAGCGUAGGCGGGCUUCUAAGUUAGGUGUUUAAUCCCGGGGCCCAACCCCGGUCGUGCACUUAAAACUGGAAGUCUUGAAUAGUGGAGAGGUCAGUGGAAUUGGGGGUGUAGCGGUGGAAUGCGUAGAGAUCCCCAAGAACACCAGUUGCGAAGGCGGCUGACUGGACACAUAUUGACGCUGAGGCUCGAAAGCAUGGGGAGCAAACAGG
rnacentral:rRNA from 1 species